rfam:Salmo salar isolate Sally breed double haploid chromosome ssa10, whole genome shotgun sequence.
UGUAUUCACUACUGUAAGUCGCUCUGGAUAAGAGCGUCUACUGAAUGACUAAAA